UAUUUGCGUUAGGGAUGGAAGCGGCAUCCUUUUGUGUAGCUUGCGGAACAAAAGAUAUAGCGUACAGCCCGCCCACCC
rnacentral:sRNA from 1 species